rnacentral:rRNA from 1 species
AUGAAGACCUUUCUCAUCCUUUCCCUCCUUGCUAUCGUGGCAACCACCGCCACAACUGCAUUUAGAAUUCUAGUGCCACAAUUGCAGCCACAAAAUCCAUCUUAGCAACAACCACAAGAGCAAGUUCCAUUGGUACAACAACAGCAAUUUCUAGGGCAGCAACAACCAUUUCCACCACAACAACCAUAUCCACAGCCGCAACCAUUUCCAUCACAACAACCAUAUCUGCAGCUGCAACCAUUUCCGCAGCCGCAACCACCAUAUUCGCAGCCGCAACCAUUUCGACCACAAUAACCAUAUCUCCACAACCGCAACCACAGUAUUCGCAACCACAAUAACCAAUUUCGCAGCAGCAACAACAACAACAACAACAACAACAACAACAAAUCCUUCAACAAAUUUUGCAACAACAACUGAUUCCAUGCAUGGAUGUUGUAUUGCAGCAACACAACAUAGCGCAUGGAAGAUCACAAGUUUUGCAACAAAGUAGUUACCAGCUGUUGCAAGAAUUGUGUUUUCAGCACCUAUGACAGAUCCCUGAGCAGUCGCAGUGCCAAGCCAUCCACAAUGUUGUCCAUGCUAUUAUUCUGCAUCAACAACAAAAACAACAACAACAACAACAACAAAAACAACAACCAUCGAGCCAGGUCUCCUUCCAACAGCCCCAGCAACAAUAUCCAUCAGGCCAGGGCUCCUUCCGGCCAUCUCUGCAAAAUCCACAGGCCCAGGGCUCGGUCCAGCCUCAACAGCUGCCCAGUUCGAGGAAAUAAGGAACCUAGCGCUACAGACGCUACCUGCAAUGUGCAAUCUCUACAUCCCUCCAUAUUGCACCAUCGCGCCAUUUGGCAUCUUCGGUACUAACUGA